CACAAGAUAACUAUAAUUUUUAUUUCAAUAAAGAUAUAUGUUCAAUUUAUUUCGAAAAUAAAGUUGUUGCACGUGUUUUCUUGAUUGACGGUCUUUAUCAUUUGCAUACAGAUGCAAAUGUAAAUAUUAACGAGUAAAUUAUGAAUGCCAUAAGAUCUAAGAGACUUAGAGAUAAGAUUAGCCAAAAGUAUCUGUGGUACCUUAGGCUAUGCCAUAUUGGAGAGAACAGACUCAACAAAUUGGAGAAAGAUGGUCUUCUCGGAUCAUUGACUUUCGAGUCUUAUCCAGUCUGCAAAUCGUGUCUUCAAAAAAAUGAUCAAACUACCUUUUGUGGGACA
rnacentral:lncRNA from 1 species